rnacentral:rRNA from 1 species
UGGGGAAUUUUGCGCAAUGGGGGAAACCCUGACGCAGCAACGCCGCGUGGAGGAUGAAGUCCCUUGGGAUGUAAACUCCUUUCGACCGGGAAGAUACUGACGGUACCGGAAGAAGAAGCACCGGCUAACUCUGUGCCAGCAGCCGCGGUAAUACAGAGGGUGCGAGCGUUGUUCGGAAUUAUUGGGCGUAAAGGGCGCGUAGGCGGUGCGGUAAGUCACCUGUGAAAUCUCCUGGCUCAACUGGGAGUCUGCAGGCGAAACUGCCGUGCUGGAGUAUGGGAGAGGUGCGUGGAAUUCCCGGUGUAGCGGUGAAAUGCGCAGAUAUCAGGAAGAACACCUAUGGCGAAGGCAGCUCUCUGGGACGGUACUGACGCUGAGACGCGAAAGCGUGGGGAGCAAACAGGAUUAGAUACCC